rnacentral:rRNA from 1 species
CUACGGGGCGCUGCAGUGAGGAAUAUUGCGCAAUGGGGGAAACCCUGACGCAGCGACGCCGCGUGGAUGAUGAAGGCCUUAGGGUCGUAAAAUCCUGUCAGGUGGGAAGAAGUGGAUAUAGAUUAAUACUCUAUUUCUUUGACGGUACCACCAAAGGAAGCACCGGCUAACUCCGUGCCAGCAGCCGCGGUAAUACGGAGGGUGCAAACGUUGUUCGGAAUUACUGGGCGUAAAGCGCGCGUAGGCGGUUUGUUAAGUCAGAUGUGAAAGUCCAUGGCUCAACUAGGGAAGUGCAUUUGAAACUGGCAGGCUUGAGUACUGGAGGGGGUGAUGGAAUGCCCGGUGUAGAGGUGAAAUUCGUAGAUAUCGGGAGGAAUACCGGUGGCGAAGGCGAUCACCUGGCCAGAUACUGACGCUGAGGUGCGAAAGCGUGGGGAGCAAACAGGAUUAGAUACCCCUGUAGUC